AGCGAACGCUGGCGGCAGGCCUAACACAUGCAAGUCGAACGAACCUUUCGGGGUUAGUGGCGGACGGGUGAGUAACACGUGGGAACGUGCCUUUAGGUUCGGAAUAACUCAGGGAAACUUGUGCUAAUACCGAAUGUGUCCCUCGGGGGAAAGAUUAAUCGCCUUUAGAGCGGCCCGCGUCUGAUUAGCUAGUUGGUUGAGGUAAUGGCUCACCAAGGCGACGAUCAGUAGCUGGUCUGAGAGGAUGAUCAGCCACAUUGGGACUGAGACACGGCCCAAACUCCUACGGGAGGCAGCAGUGGGGAAUCUUGCGCAAUGGGCGAAAGCCUGACGCAGCCAUGCCGCGUGAAUGAUGAAGGUCUUAGGAUUGUAAAAUUCUUUCACCGGGGACGAUAAUGACGGUACCCGGAGAAGAAGCCCCGGCUAACUUCGUG
rnacentral:rRNA from 1 species